rnacentral:tRNA from 1 species
CGCUGAGCGGGCUGGUGGUGUGGCCGGCCGGGCUGCCGAUCCUGUCCGAGCGGGACUUCGGGCGCUCGUUCCUCGCGGACCUCAACGA